rnacentral:rRNA from 1 species
AUUGAACGCUGGCGGCAUGCUUUACACAUGCAAGUCGAACGGUAACAGGCCGCAAGGUGCUGACGAGUGGCGAACGGGUGAGUAACGCAUCGGAACGUGCCCAGUCGUGGGGGAUAACUACUCGAAAGAGUAGCUAAUACCGCAUACGAUCUAUGGAUGAAAGCGGGGGACCGUAAGGCCUCGCGCGAUUGGAGCGGCCGAUGUCAGAUUAGGUAGUUGGUGGGGUAAAGGCUCACCAAGCCAACGAUCUGUAGCUGGUCUGAGAGGACGACCAGCCACACUGGGACUGAGACACGGCCCAGACUCCUACGGGAGGCAGCAGUGGGGAAUUUUGGACAAUGGGCGCAAGCCUGAUCCAGCAAUGCCGCGUGCAGGAAGAAGGCCUUCGGGUUGUAAACUGCUUUUGUACGGAACGAAACGGCUCUGGUUAAUACCCGGGGCUAAUGACGGUACCGUAAGAAUAAGCACCGGCUAACUACGUG